UGGGGAAUAUUGCACAAUGGGCGAAAGCCUGAUGCAGCAACGCCGCGUGUGUGAAGAAGGCCUUCGGGUUGUAAAGCACUUUGUCCGGAAAGAAAUCCUUGGCUCUAAUACAGUCGGGGGAUGACGGUACCGGAAGAAUAAGCACCGGCUAACCACGUGCCAGCAGCCGCGGUAAUACGUAGGGUGCAAGCGUUAAUCGGAAUUACUGGGCGUAAAGCGUGCGCAGGCGGUUUGCUAAGACCGAUGUGAAAUCCCCGGGCUCAACCUGGGAACUGCAUUGGUGACUGGCAGGCUAGAGUAUGGCAGAGGGGGGUAGAAUUCCCACGUGUAGCAGUGAAAUGCGUAGAGAUGUGGAGGAAUACCGAUGGCGAAGGCAGCCCCCUGGGCCAAUACUGACGCUCAUGCACGAAAGCGUGGGGAGCAAAACAGGAUUAGAUACCCUGGUAGUCCACGCCCUAAACGAUGUCAACUAGUUGUUGGGGGAUUCAUUUCCUUAGUAACGUAGCUAACGCGUGAAGUU
rnacentral:rRNA from 1 species